GAUGAACGCUGGCGGCGUGCCUAAUACAUGCAAGUCGAGCGAACAGACGAUGAGCUUUUUCCUCUGACGUUAGCGGCUGACGGGUGAGUAACACGUGGAUAACCUACUUAUUAUACUGGGAUAACUUCGGGAAACCGCAGCCAAUACCAGCUCAUAUAUUCUACCGCAUAGUGCAGUAGUUAUUCACGGUUUUGGCGACUCAUUUAGACGGCGUCGCAUUAGCUAGUUGGUGGGGUAAGGGCACACCAAGGCGACGAUGCGUAGCCGGGCUGAGAGGAUGAUCGGCCACACUGGAACUGAGACACGGUCCAGACUCCUACGGGAGGCAGCAGUGGGGAAUAUUCCGCAAUGGGCGAAAGCCUGACGGAGCCAUGCCGCGUGAGUGAUGAAGGUCUUCGGAUCGUAAAGCUCUGUUAUUAGGGAAGAAAAGAUGUGUAUGUAUCCAUGGACGUCUUGACGGUACCUAAUCAGAAAGCAACGGCUAACUACGUG
rnacentral:rRNA from 1 species